CAGGUCGUCGUCACACGGUUUGGAGAGAUCCGUAGGGUGAACAAACUGAGGUAUUCGGGUUCAAUCAGCAUGCGCAACGAAUGUUUCCAACAGGUGCUAGGAAUAUUUUUUCGACUGUGAAUUCGUGGGAAAAUUCCUUUUGAAGUGAAGGAAACGGUAUCACUGUCAUGUUAUGCUGAUAGAAUGUACAUAAAAGUAAAUCUAACGGAACUAAGUAUAUUAUACAAUGAUACAGACCCACGUUAUAUAUCCUUAUUAAAUGAAGGAUGUACAGGAUCCUAUGCAGGUGAUAUUUGGUAUAUUGAAAAUAAGAAUGCUGAUUGUUAUACUAAAAGAUUGAUUAGCAACGUUUCUAUGACGUAUAGAAAUGAUUUAAUUUAUAAAGAGGUCGGUAAUGGACCGAUCGUUCGAGAACACAGGUGGAAAGUUGUCCUAGAAUGUGAAUUUGCAAGAAAAGAGGUGAUACCAUCGGGCUAUAAUGUGAAAGAACAAGUUGAUCAUGUGAUAAAUGUGAAUUCCACCUAUCAAUCUACCAUGCAGCUGUUUAAUGAUUCCUCUCUACAAAAUGAGAUUAAGGUAAAUCCAACAAAAGCCUCACUAGGAGAUGAUCUCUUUGUUUUAAUUAGUAUGGAUGAAGAUUGGAAUGUUACUAUGAAGAUUCAGACAUGUGUAGCACGCCCCGAACCCGGUUCUUCUACCGCGUAUCUUCUAAUAGACAACGGGUGUGCUACUGACAGUGAAACAACAAUAUUACACGAACACCAAAACUCAACGCUCUUUCAUUUUAAAGCAUUUGAGUUUUAUGCCGGAUAUAGUUCAGUAUAUUUAUUCUGUGAUAUUUUCUACUGUAAUGACGAUAAUCAGUUGGAGGUGUGUAAAACGAAAACAUGUAAACCUCAUUAGUUAUAUUCUAUGUAUUGACUAAUUUAAGAAUAUUAAAGGCGGGAGUUUGAGACUAGA